rnacentral:rRNA from 1 species
GACGUAGGGCGCGAGCGUUGUCCGGAUUUACUGGGCGUAAAGGGCGCGUAGGCGGUAGCACAAGUCAGUUGUGAAAUCUCCGGGCUUAACUCGGAAAGGUCAACUGAUACUGUGCGACUAGAGUGCAGAAGGGGCAACUGGAAUUCUCGGUGUAGCGGUGAAAUGCGUAGAUAUCGAGAGGAACACCUGCGGCGAAGGCGGGUUGCUGGGCUGACACUGACGCUGAGGCGCGAAAGCCAGGGGAGCGAACGGG